rnacentral:tRNA from 1 species
GGUGUCUUGGAGAAGUGGCAACUCGCUCCUUUUGGGAAACCGACCAUUUCGAUAUAGGAGAGAUCAGGGGUUCGAACCCCCUAGGCGCCC